rnacentral:rRNA from 1 species
AGAGUUUGAUCCUGGCUCAGAUUGAACGCUGGCGGCAUGCCUUACACAUGCAAGUCGAACGGCAGCACGGGAGCAAUCCUGGUGGCGAGUGGCGAACGGGUGAGUAAUAUAUCGGAACGUGCCCAAUCGUGGGGGAUAACGCAGCGAAAGCUGUGCUAAUACCGCAUACGAUCUACGGAUGAAAGCGGGGGACUCAGCAAUGGGCCUCGCGCGAAUGGAGCGGCCGAUAUCAGAUUAGCUAGUUGGUGGGGUAAAGGCUCACCAAGGCGACGAUCUGUAGCUGGUCUGAGAGGACGACCAGCCACACUGGAACUGAGACACGGUCCAGACUCCUACGGGAGGCAGCAGUGGGGAAUUUUGGACAAUGGGCGCAAGCCUGAUCCAGCAAUGCCGCGUGCAGGAUGAAGGCCUUCGGGUUGUAAACUGCUUUUGUACGGGAACGAAAAGACUCCUUCUAAUAAAGGGGGUUCAUGACGGUACCGUAAGAAUAAGCACCGGCUAACUACGUGCCAGCAGCCGCGGUAAUACGUA